GAAAUGCGAUAAUUAAUGUGAAUUGCAGAAUUCAGUGAAUCAUCGAGUCUUUGAACGCACAUUGCGCCCCCUGGUAUUCCGGGGGGCAUGCCUGUCCGAGCGUCAUUGCUGCCCUCAAGCACGGCUUGUGUGUUGGGCUUCCGUCCCUGGCAACGGGGACGGGCCCAAAAGGCAGUGGCGGCACCAUGUCUGGUCCUCGAGCGUAUGGGGCUUUGUCACCCGCUCCCGUAGGUCCAGCUGGCAGCUAGCCUCGCAACCAAUCUUUUUAACCAGGUUGACCUCGGAUCAGGUAGGGAUACCCGUUGAACUUAAG
rnacentral:misc_RNA from 1 species